GUCGCGAUGAUGUAGUGGUUAUCAUUUCUGCCUUACACGCAGACCGUCCUGGGUUCGACCCCCAGUCGCGGCA